UACAGAGGUCUCAAGCGUUGUUCGGAUUCAUUGGGCGUAAAGGGUGCGUAGGCGGCGCGGUAAGUCGGGGUGUGAAAUCUCGGAGCUUAACUCCGAAAACUGCAUUCGAGUACUGCCGUGCUUGAGGACUGGAGAGGAGACGUGGAAUUUACGGUGUAGCGGUGAAAUGCGUAGAUAUCGUAAGGAAGACCAGUGGCGAAAGGCGGGU
rnacentral:rRNA from 1 species